rnacentral:tRNA from 1 species
GCCUGGGUGGCUCAGUUGAUUGAGCGUCUGACUUUCACUCGGGUCAUGAUCUCGUAAUUCCGUAGGUUUGAGCCCUAUGUCUGGCU